rnacentral:rRNA from 1 species
CCUACGGGUGGCUGCAGUGAGGAAUAUUGGUCAAUGGUCGAGAGUCUGAACCAGCCAAGUAGCGUGAAGGAUGACUGCCCUAUGGGUUGUAAACUUCUUUUAUAUGGGAAUAAAAUGUUCCACGUGUGGGAUUUUGUAUGUACCAUAUGAAUAAGGAUCGGCUAACUCCGUGCCAGCAGCCGCGGUAAUACGGAGGAUCCGAGCGUUAUCCGGAUUUAUUGGGUUUAAAGGGAGCGUAGGUGGAUUGUUAGGUCAGUUGUGAAAGUUUGCGGCUCAACCGUAAAAUUGCAGUUGAAACUGGCAGUCUUGAGUACAGUAGAGGUGGGCGGAAUUCGUGGUGUAGCGGUGAAAUGCUUAGAUAUCACGAAGAACUCCGAUUGCGAAGGCAGUUCACUGGACUGCAACUGACACUGAGGCUCGAAAGUGUGGGUAUCAAACAGGAUUAGAUACCCUUGUAGUC